UCUCUCUGCAAGCAUGUCGGCUGGAACUGUGUGUUUAUUCCUCACAUCUGCAACUCUUUUAGCUGGACUUUGUCGUGCAGAUUCUGUCUCACAAACACCGGCUGCAAUCACAGUGAAUGAAGGGGAAGAUGUCGUGUUAUUCUGUAAUUACACAACUACAUCAAGCAGCAGUGCUUACUUGUUCUGGUACCGGAAGCAUUCCAGUGGCUCCAUGGAGUAUGUGCUGAAGAGAAACCAAUAUAUCAAGGAAACAGAGAGACAUCCAGGAGACAGGUUUUCCUCAGAGUUUGAUCAUGUGAACCGGACUAUCCACCUGAAAGUGUUGAACACAGAACUUACAGACUCCGCGAUGUAUCACUGUGCACUGAAACCACACGUGGCACUGAAUGCUAUCAUGUAUGCUCUGUGA